rnacentral:tRNA from 1 species
GGGCUUGUAACUCAGUGGAUAGAGUGUCAGAUUCCGGUUCUGUUUGUCGAGGGUUCAAAUCCCUCCGAGCUCG